GGAAAGCAUUUAGGGUGGUUAGGAAUCCAAAGAUGAUGCAAACCGCUGGGAAGUGAGGUAAGGGGAGAAACCGGUUAUAUUGUAACACAUGAUUGGUUUAGGGUUUUGAUAAGUGUUUUCAUGUUAUAGGGAAAUAUAUUUUGUGAUNUGAUAUAAUAUUUAUUCUUUACUUGUGCUUCAUUGUAAGGGGAGUAACUAGAAUUGUCUUGUUGUGUAUUGUUUCUCUUUUGAUAUGAAUGUCUUGCAUGGUGAGAUGAGUUUUAAAUUGUCUCUAGCAUGAAUGGUGUAAUUUCAAUUAUAUGUGGAUAAUUUAUGAAUAGUUGUCUAUGCCAUCUUCGCGUGUGACUUGUUGGAAUUUUUGGCUCACUUAUUG
rnacentral:lncRNA from 1 species